CCGUGGAGGAGCAGGCUGUCCUGGGACACAUCAUUACCUGUUGAAAGACAAAAGAAGAAGUGGCCGUUAGUUUGGACUGAAAGAAUUCCUGGCCGGAGGCUCGAGCUCUCUCCUUCUGUGUUGCUGUCCAUCUGUCCGCUGCCGGGGCCUCCUGCAGGAGCAGAUGUUUACUCCUUCCUCGACCUGAGCCUGGAGGUGAGGGGGUUGGUUGACCGGUGGAGGUUUGACCAAGAGAGAGUUUGCAUUGACACUAGUAGAGACAAUCAGAAAGAACAAUAGUAUGGAUGAACACCAGGGAGGUGGAGGGGCGAAACAGUGGCUGACUGACCGUCUCCAUGCAUACGUACCCUCCGUUCCUCUGUGAAGUAAAGGACUGUGAAGAUGUUUUGGUGGAGGAGUCAGUGUUGUUAAAGUUGUGAAAAAUCUUCACAUGAAAAUGAAGAAUGAAUUGUUGUACAUCACUCGCUGCAUGUUUUCAAAUGUGAAAAGUUGAGUUUAACCAGAAUAUGUCAUGUGCAAAGCAAAUACUACUUCCAUUUUAAAAUUAAGCACCAAGUUGUUAAA